rfam:Stegodyphus mimosarum contig62325, whole genome shotgun sequence.
GCCUUCGUGGUGCAGUGGUCAGCACUCUCGGCGCGUAUUCGAGAGGCCCGUGGUUCGAGUCCCGGCUAGCGCA